UACGUAGGGGGCGAGCGUUAUCCGGAUUCAUUGGGCGUAAAGCGCGCGUAGGCGGCCCGUUUGGUCGGGAGUUAAAUCCGGGGGCUCAACCCCCGCCCGCUCCCGAUACCGGCGGGCUUGAGUCUGGUAGGGGAAGGCGGAAUUCCAAGUGUAGCGGUGGAAUGCGCAGAUAUUUGGAAGAACACCGGUGGCGAAGGCGGCCUUCUGGGCCACGACUGACGCUGAGGCGCGAAAGCUAGGGGAGCGAACAGGAUUAGAUACCCCCGUAGUCC
rnacentral:rRNA from 1 species